rnacentral:rRNA from 1 species
GACGAACCGUACAAACGUUAUUCGGAAUUACUGGGCUUAAAGAGUGCGUAGGCGGCGUGGCAAGUUGGGUGUGAAAUCCCUCGGCUCAACCGAGGAACUGCGCCCAAUACUGCCGUGCUCGAGGGAGACAGAGGUGAGCGGAACUUAGGGUGGAGCGGUGAAAUGCGUUGAUAUCCUAAGGAACACCUGUGGCGAAAGCGGCUCACUGGGUCUCUUCUGACGCUGAUGCACGAAAGCUAGGGUAGCGAACGGG